rnacentral:rRNA from 1 species
AGUGAACGCUGGCGGUAGGCCUAACACAUGCAAGUCGAACGGCAGCACAGUAAGAGCUUGCUCUUACGGGUGGCGAGUGGCGGACGGGUGAGGAAUACAUCGGAAUCUACUUUUUCGUGGGGGAUAACGUAGGGAAACUUACGCUAAUACCGCAUACGACCUACGGGUGAAAGCAGGGGAUCUUCGGACCUUGCGCGAUUGAAUGAGCCGAUGUCGGAUUAGCUAGUUGGUGGGGUAAAGGCCCACCAAGGCGACGAUCCGUAGCUGGUCUGAGAGGAUGAUCAGCCACACUGGAACUGAGACACGCUCCAGACUCCUACGGGAGGCAGCAGUGGGGAAUAUUGGACAAUGGGCGCAAGCCUGAUCCAGCCAUACCGCGUGGGUGAAGAAGGCCUUCGGGUUGUAAAGCCCUUUUGUUGGGAAAGAAAAGCAGCAGGUUAAUACCCCGCUGUUCUGACGGUACCCAAAGAAUAAGCACCGGCUAACUUCGUG